rnacentral:tRNA from 1 species
AUUUAAAUAGUUUAUUAAAAAUAAUGAUUUGUGGUGUCAUUGAUAUGAAAUUAAAUUAUUCAUUUUAAAUCA